rnacentral:rRNA from 1 species
UACGUAGGUGGCAAGCGUUGUCCGGAUUUACUGGGCGUAAAGAGCGCGCAGGCGGUCGUUCAAGUCGCGUGUGAAAGCCCCCGGCUCAACUGGGGAGGGUCACGCGAUACUGAUCGACUCGAAGGCAGGAGAGGGUAGUGGAAUUCCCGGUGUAGUGGUGAAAUGCGUAGAUAUCGGGAGGAACACCAGUGGCGAAGGCGACUACCUGGCCUGUUCUUGACGCUGAGGCGCGAAAGCCAGGGGAGCAAAGCGGG